rnacentral:rRNA from 1 species
UCGAGCGAGAAAGGGGCUUCGGCCCUGAGUAAAGCGGCGCACGGGUGAGUAACACGUGGGUAAUCUGCCCUAGAGUGGGGAAUAACACCGGGAAACCGGUGCUAAUACCGCAUACGAUCGCGAUGUCUUCGGAUGUUGUGAUGAAAGGAGCAAUUCGCUCUUGGAGGAGCCCGCGGCUGAUUAGCUAGUUGGUGAGGUAAUGGCUCACCAAGGCAACGAUCAGUAGCCGGUCUGAGAGGACGGUCGGCCACACUGGAACUGAGACACGGUCCAGACUCCUACGGGAGGCAGCAGUGGGGAAUUUUUCGCAAUGGGGGCAACCCUGACGAAGCAACGCCGCGUGGGUGAUGAAGUAUCUCGGUACGUAAAACCCUUUCGACGGGGAAGAAACCGCAAGGUUGACGGUACCAGUAGAAGAAGCCCCGGCUAACUCCGUGCCAGCAGCCGCGGUAAUACGGGGGGGGCAAGCGUUGUUCGGAAUUACUGGGCGUAAAGGGCGCGUAGGCGGUCCGCUAAGUUGAAUGUGAAAACUCUGGGCUUAACCCAGAGCCUGCAUUCAAUACUGGCAGGCUAGAGUUCUGGAGGGGAUAGCGGAAUUCCUGGUGUAGCGGUGAAAUGCGUAGAUAUCAGGAGGAACACCGGUGGCGAAGGCGGCUAUCUGGACAGAGUCUGACGCUGAGGCGCGAAAGCUAGGGGAGCAAACAGGACUAGAUACCCUGGUAGUCCUAGCCCUAAACGAUGGAUACUUGCUGUGACUGGGAUUGAAUCCAGUCGUGGCGAAGCUAACGCAUUAAGUAUCCCGC